ensembl:lncRNA
UGAGAUGUUUUUCUGGUUAUUCAUUGAAUGAUUUAUCCCCUUUCAGUCUGAAUCACUUCCUCUUCGUGUCGCAGGGAUCCCAUGCUACCAGGAAUUGCUGGGUUAAGAUGAUCCUGGACUCUUAAAAAUUCUGGGAAACAUCCAUAGAAGCUUGGUUUUUUCCAUCUUCUGUCUUGGGCUCAUUCCAACUUCAGUUCGUGGGGGAGUCAUGUCAAUAAGAUACAUGUGUAUAGUGGCCACCUCCUCCCACAAGAACAGCCAAGCAAAGAACCAACUGUCACAUUCGGACAAAACAACUAAAGGACAGUACCCAUGAACAUCAGAGGACUGGAACCACCUUGGACUCUUACAGGCUUGUCAAUAAGGGAACCUCUGUAGCCCUCAUAGGCAGUUGGCCCAGCAGAGAAAGCUGCCUGGGAUCUAACAGAUCCACUGUCUCCAAAGGAGGAGUUGGUGGUGUGCCCUGCAUCCCAUGGACAGUGUGGUUACAAUUCGGUGGCACCUUGGAACCAGAGCCCUAUUCUGGAGAUAGGAACGAUGGCAUACCUCCACCUCUGAGAAUUCAUCACUAUAGAAACAACCCCACCUGGUGGCCACCAUUCCUGCCACCAAACCACUACUUCACCAUAUUGCUUGUUGCUAAACUGCAUAGUCACUGCACUCCCAGCUGCUGUCACUCUUCGCCUGCCUUAGAUACAGUGGUGCCGAGCACCAAAAGUCUCCAACUGUAAAAUGGACUAACUCGAUUCUGUGUAAUUCUGCCGAAGUUCCUUCAUCUAGUUGAAUGCCCUACUGCUAAGCAACUAUGUAUGAAUUGUUAUGUAUUCUUCAUGAACUGACCCCCUUGUCAUUGUUCAAUUCUGUCUUCACACCUAACUUGCCUUACUCAGAACUUGCCUUGUCUGAAAUUAAUACAGAGGUGUAGAAGUUUGCUUAAAAAUUUUAUCUCCUCUAGAGAUACACAACUGACCACUGGGCAGAGCUCCUGAAAUCCAGUCCAAGAGAGGGAGGAGUGAUAACAGGAGCAAAGAGGUCAAGACCAUGUUGGGGAAAUCCACAGAAACAGCUGACCUGAGCUGGUGGGAGUUCAAUGACUCUGGACUGACAGCUGGGGAACCUGCAGAGGCUGACUUACUCUUGAAUACUGUGGUGGUUUAAAAGAAAAUGUCCCCCAAAGGAAGUGGCACUAAUGGGAGGUGUGGCCUUGUUGUAGUAGGUGUGGCCUUACUGGAGGAAGUGCAUCACUGUGGGUGCUGGCUUUGAGUUCUAUGCUCAAGCCAUGCCCAAUGAUACAGUUCACUUCCUGUUGCCUGUAUAUCAAUAUGUAGAAGUCUCAGCUCCCUCUCCAGCACUGUGUCUGCCUGCAUGCCGCCAUGCCAUGCCAUGAUGAUAAUGGACAAAACCUCUGAAACUGUAAGUUACUCGGUUAAAUAUUUUUCUUUAUAAAAGUUGCCAUGGUCAUGAUGUCUCUUCACGGCAAUAGAAACCAUAACUAAGACAACUACUUACAUGGCAUGGAAAUUGCACCUGAAAUGUCCUUCACAGUAAAUGCUUUCCUGUGGUAAAGUAGGCUGGUAAUUGUUCACCAACCUGGCCUCAGUCAUGUUGUUCAGCUAGCUUUCAUACUCCUUUAAUAUUCUCACUCUGUUUGUCUGUGAUAUUUUAUUGCUUGUUUUGUAACCCCACCCACUGAAACAGCAACAUGCCUGUCAAAUCAAAAGUAAAAGAAGCCAUAAGCACACAUUUGGUGCUCAUUGUUAAAUUUUAAAUUUAACAUUGUUAAAUUGUUAAAUUUCUGUCCCAGCAAACUGGGACAGAAAUGCCUCACCUCAGUAAAAUUUUCACAUCUUAGAUACUGUGAUAUAACAAGAAACAAAUUUGGGUCUUUGUCCUGUGUGAUGUCUAUAUUACUUUUCUGGGGCAUAGCUCCCCAAACAUGAAAUUUUGGAAAUGAGAAGUGUCUUUAUGGGCAAUAAAGAAGUUAGUGACAGCUAGGGUCCAGGAUGGUUUCAGUGUAGCGGCAGGUUAACAAGUGGUGAGAUUGGGAAUGUUUCCCUUUGGGCUACCUGAUCCCCAUUUGGCAGUGCUGUUUGGGGAGUCAUAGGAGGUGUGGCCUUGU